UACAGAGGGUGCGAGCGUUAAUCGGAGUUACUGGGCGUAAAGGGCGCGUAGGCGGUAAUAUGAGUGGAAUGUGAAAGCCCCGGGCUUAACCUGGGAAGUGCAUACCAAACGAUAUUGCUGGAGUAUGGGAGAGGGUGGCGGAAUUUCCGGUGUAGCGGUGAAAUGCGUAGAGAUCGGAAGGAACGUCGAUGGCGAAGGCAGCCACCUGGCCCAAUACUGACGCUGAGGCGCGAAAGCGUGGGGAGCGAACAGG
rnacentral:rRNA from 1 species